AGUGAACGCUGGCGGCAUGCCUAACACAUGCAAGUCGAACGGCAGCACAGUAAGUGCUUGCUCUUAGGGGUGGCGAGUGGCGGACGGUGGAGGAAUACAUCGGAUUCUACUUUUUAGUGGGGGAUAACAUCGGGAAACUUACGCUAAUACCGCAUACGACGUACGGGUGAAAGCAGGGGAUCUUCGGACCUUGCGCGAGUGAAUGAGCCGAUGUCGGAUUAGCUAGUUGGCGGGGUAAAGGCCCACCAAGGCGACGAUCCGUAGCGGGUCUGAGAGGAUGAUCAGCCACACUGGAACUGAGACACGGUCCAGACUCCUACGGGAGGCAGCAGUGGGGAAUAUUGGACAAUGGGCGCAAGCCUGAUCCAGCCAUACCGCGUGGGUGAAGAAGGCCUUCGGGUUGUAAAGCCCUUUUGUCCGGAAGGAAAUGCAGCUGGUUAAUACCCGGCGGUUCUGACAGUACCGGAAGAAUAAGCACCGGCUAACUUCGUG
rnacentral:rRNA from 1 species